UUGACAGACUAAAAACAUUGCAAAAGACGAAGAUAAGGAUUCGUUUUUCGACUGCCUUGUUUACGACCUUCAAGCUGACUAUCUCGCUGCACAUGGAUAUGAAUUUCCAUUUACAGAUUGCAGGAAGAUGGACUUGCUGAUGAAGGAAACAGAGGGAAGCCAUCAAUUAAUCGGACACAUCGCUAGCCAAGU